rnacentral:rRNA from 1 species
GAUGAACGCUGGCGGCGUGCCUAACGCAUGCAAGUCGAGCGAACCCUUCGGGGUGAGCGGCGGACGGGUGAGUAACGCGUGGGUAACCUGCCCUAUACACACGGAUAACGUACCGAAAGGUACGCUAAUACGGGAUAAAGUUGUUGGAUGGCAUCUUCUAACAAUCAAAGCUCCGGCGGUAUAGGAUGGACCCGCGUCUGAUUAGCUAGUUGGUGAGGUAAUGGCUCACCAAGGCGACGAUCAGUAGCCGACCUGAGAGGGUGAUCGGCCACACUGGAACUGAGACACGGGCCAGACUCCUACGGGAGGCAGCAGUGGGAAUAUUGCACAAUGGGCGAAAGCCUGAUGCAGCAACGCCGCGUGAGCGAUGAAGGUCUUCGGAUCGUAAAGCUCUGUCCUCAAGGAAGAUAAUGACGGUACUUGAGGAGGAAGCCCCGGCUAACUACGUGCCAGCAGCCGCGGUAA